rfam:Erinaceus europaeus unplaced genomic scaffold scaffold00816, whole genome shotgun sequence
UAAUUUAGUUCUAGUUGCAGCAUCCAUCAUCCCAUUGAUUGCCAGGAUUAAAUCUGCUCUGGCUGGUUAGGCAGGUGUCCUUUAAUUCCCUCACUACUCUAUAUGCAUACCUCCCAAAGCUGUGCUCUUAAUCCAGGAGAAUGAAUUUACCAGAAUAGAGAAUAAUCUUUGGUGGAGGGCAUGUGGGUAGCUGCACUCUACUAUUUGAACCUCCAAACAAGCUCUAAUGACCCAUAUAUUGCUAACUUUUUAUGGUUACAGGGUCAAAGUCCAGUUUCCUUGGAAAUAAUUUUAAGCCAGUUUCAAUGAUAAACUCACCACU